GUCACGGAGUGUGGUGGCCACUGCUGUUAUCUUUCUUUAUUCCCUACACACCUCUGAACAUCUCCUAUACUGGGCAUCCUUUUUUUUUUUUCUUCUCUUUUUGGGCAUCCUUCUUAACCCAUAUAAUUUCCUCUUUUUCUGCUAACAGGUUGUGUAUACAAUUCCUGCCGGUCUGACCCUGCUUGUUGGACUUAACCCUCUUGUCACAGGUAUGAACCUUGGAUUCUGAAUGGAGAUACAGCAGAUCUGAUUUCCUUUCAAUGGCGAGAGUCUGUCUGCCAACGCCCAGGAGAAAACUGGAGCUCUCCAUGUCUUUCUUCUCCCUUCUGAUCAUAAGAGGAGGCGAAUUCUAAUCUAGAUCGUCCUCACCCAUCUUCAGGAAAACUUGAUAAGGACGUGCCAUACUAAGACAGUCUUUAUCAAUUUGGAACCCAGGAUCUCAUACUGAUGUGGUACAGUAAUUAUGCCGUUUAGCCCGAGAGAGAAGGGCUUCAGUCACCGCGUUGAUUUCUUAAGCCACCAAGCUAAUGGGAGAUGGGUAACGAUCAAACUGCUAACCUUGUCUCCAUACUUAGUGGUGAUCACUGUCUAUCAUGUAUUUACUCUAUACAGGUACCACUCCCGUUAGUCAUUUUCUGAUUCUGAAUUCAUUCAAUGCCUAUGUAUCUGAACUGCUACUUUUGUAGAGAAACUGUCUAUAAUGUCUAUAACAAAUCUUUAGAUUUUUUUACUGAUACAUGUUGCUCUCCCUUAUCUCCUUAUAUACCAUCACAGUAACUCCAGCAAUUUCUUGCACACUUUUAUUUAUGUUUCCUCCAUCUAGGCUGUAAGCCCCUUGAAAGGAUCAUGUCUAACCCAUCUGUGCCCAAGUCUAGCUUAAACAUGGCCAGGAAUAUGGCAGGUACCUAAUGUUUGUUGAGUCAGUGAAUGGCUCUAACACAGAGGCCUUAUCAUAUAUUUGUUUUGUAACCUGCUCCCUGGAUUCCUUACGGGUACAUCCCAGGUGAGUAUAUACAUAAAAAAUUCACUUAAAAUAGCGGUCUGUAUUGCCCACAGGCCACCUACCUCAACUAGGGGCAAAACAUAGCUGCUUCACCUUUUAUGGCCCUAAAAACUCAGUAAACCUUAGUUGGACAGUUUCAUUCUAUGAAACACUGUCUUAGAGCAGAAAAAAAAUUUUUUUUUACAUUGUUUACUAACAUUCUCUUAUUAAUGGGGACUAUUAGUCCGGCAGGUUAUUUGUCACUUUCUUUAAAUCAGCUUCUACUAGUGGGGCUUGAAAAUUCUCAGGGCCUCCGAAUAAAGACUAAUGAUCCCCACCUGGGUGGGCUCCUUGUACGAGGCCCCUAGAUCUCUGUUUACAUCUUCAAGGUGUAUCAGUUAGGACUCCAGUAGUUGCAAGCAAGGAAAAAACUCAACUCAAAUGGCCUAUAAGAUGAAGGGAGAUGUACUGGGAUCCUUUACUGAAAAGGCUGGGAUGGUGCUGGCUUCAGGCACUGGUGGCGGCUCAGAACUUAAAUUUGUCUGCAGUCUUAGUUCCACAACUACUGCACUUCAGCCCUGGGCUCCACCUGGUAGCCCUGCCACACAAAGGUCACAGCUUCACCACGCUGGGUCCAAAAGAAUCUAGACGCCACUUCCCUGAUAGCUCCACAAAAGCUCAGAAUGGAGUUGUUGGCCCUGAUUCGUUAUCUGUUCAUCCUGAGACAAAUCACUGUCACUGAGGGGAUGGAAUACAUUGAUUGACCUCGCUAAGGUCCAGCUGUCUGGGACACAUAGACCAGGAGUGUGGGAAGGGUGGACCCCAGAAAAUAUAAGGGUCGUCAUCAUAGGAAGGGGAGAUGCUGGACAAUCAAAAUAAUAAAUGUCCACUUGUUUAUAAAUGCUGUUUUAACCUCUGUUUUAACCUUUUGAUUUGAGGGCAAAUCAAAUCAAAAAAACCCCAGCCUUUUCUGAAUGCUUUACUUGAAGGCAGAUUAUGGCAGAGGAAUACAAAGAGAUCAUCUUUCUCUGGGAUGUGAUUCCACGAUUAACAGCACCAGGAUAUCUGUUUUUAGGUAACUUUAUUUGGAAGAGUGUCUCUGCAAUACACAUAUUCUUCUGUAUCGUGUGGGCUGUUGGCUUGGCAUACAACCUCUUGCUUCAUACAAAACAGAACAUCUUACAUGAGGAAGAAGGCAGGCCCUGAAUCAAACUUUUUCUACACUUCAACAGUCCCCAUUUGCCACUGAUCAUAGGGUGGACACAGUUACAGACCUGCCAGAUGAGCCUCGCGCUCGUCCCAUGACACCAGCUUUGCUCUCACCUCGUCAGCAGAGGCCACUGCACUCAUAGCUUCCCGUUACACUGAAUAUAAAACAGACUGUUUUCUAUGUCCACUGAGCCACUAUCAAAUCACCUUUCACCCACUGGGCCCUUCCGUGCUCUUCAGUAACAGUGCCUUAUGCUGCUUGGCGCCUGUGCAUUGGUUUUUGUCGAGUGCUCUGCCCUACCCGCUCUUCCCAAGGAUGACUCCUUCACGCCUCUUAGCUGAAAUGCUUUUCUCCUUAGAGAGGCUAUUUCUGGCCACCUGACUGAAAUGGUACCCCUAGUCCUUUUCUAUAAUAUUGUACUUUAUUUUCUUGGUGGCACUGACCACUUAUUUCUGUUGCAUUUAUUAUGUGUCCCGUCCACUUUCUUCUUGUUUCCUCCACUCCAUCCAUAAAAAAGUGGGACUGUCAGUAUUGCCUACGCCUCUGAAUAGCUGCCCUAGAAAAAGUACCCGGCCAGAACAUCAGGCACUCAGGUAUCUGUUAAAUAAAUGAAUCUUGAACUAAAUGCCACCAAGCCAUGUGCCAUGAGGCGUGAGAAAUCCUGACCCUGAACAACAGGACAAUAUACUUUUACCUUAAUCGUCCAUCUUCCUGCUGAAUAAAAGGUAGCUGAAGAAUUUAAAGACAAUGUAUUA